rnacentral:rRNA from 1 species
AUUGAACGCUGGCGGCAGGCCUAACACAUGCAAGUCGAACGAGUGGCGGACGGGUGAGUAAUGUCUGGGAAACUGCCCGUUGGAGGGGGAUAACUACUGGAAACGGUAGCGAAUACCGCGUCCCAUCGGGUGUGCCCAGAUGGGAUUAGCUAGUAGGUGGGGGAACGGCUCACCUAGGCGACGAUCCCUAGCUGGUCUGAGAGGAUGACCAGCCACACUGGAACUGAGACACGGUCCAGACUCCUACGGGAGGCAGCAGUGGGGAAUAUUGCACAAUGGGCGCAAGCCUGAUGCAGCCAUGCCGCGUGUAUGAAGAAGGCCUUCGGAUUGUAAAGUACUUUCAGCGAGGAGGCGUUACUCGCAGAAGAAGCACCGGCUAACUCCGUGCCAGCAGCCGCGGUAAUUC